rnacentral:rRNA from 1 species
UACGUAGGGUGCAAGCGUUGUCCGGAAUCAUUGGGCGUAAAGCGCGCGUAGGCGGCCCGGUAAGUCCGCUGUGAAAGUCAAAGGCUCAACCUUUGAAUGUCAGCGGAUACUGCCGGGCUAGAGUCCGGAAGAGGCGAGUGGAAUUCCUGGUGUAGCGGUGGAAUGCGCAGAUAUCGGGAGGAACACCUGAGGCGAAGGCGGGCUACUGGGCCGAUACUGACGCUGAUGUGCGAAAGCCAGGGGAGCGAACGG